AGUGACUUCCUCACCUCUUCAUAAAGUCCAGGCUCUCGUCUUCUCUCCGGCUGCCCCCGACAGUGCCCCGCACCCAGCCCCUCCCACCACCUGUCUCCCAUCUUCCCAGCCUGUCCUCCUCCUGCCCCACUGCCUCACCGUACUCCUGCUCCUCGGGUGCUCCUGAUGGCCUCUAACUGUCCUUCAAACCCAGCCCAGUAGCAGGUCUUCUCAAAGGCUUCCUGCCAUCCCUUCCCUUCCCUGGGUAGGUAUGGAACCCCUCACCCAGGCCUCCUCCACCCCAGCCCUGCUCCCUCCUGAGAAGCCAGGGGUGCACCUCACAUCUGUAUUUUUGUGCCUGGCGUAAAGCAGGAAAGGAAUGAGGAUUUCACUGAGAACCUACUGCGUGCUGGCCACUGUUAUGAAGGUCAUCACAGGGAAUGUUCACAACAAACCAUGACAUGGUAUUGUCUCAUUUUUACAGGUAAGGAAACUGAAGCCUCAGGCGAAGAGAUGAUUUCAAAGAACUUCAGAGCUAAGAGUCUUCUUCGACUAAAGCGCCCUCCCAGGGAUGAGCGCUCCUUCACUCUGCCUCCCUCAGCCCUUGCUCCGGUCUCUCUGCAGCUGGGGUCAGUGUUCCCAGUGAAGUCAGCGUGUGGAGCACACAUGCCUCGUACCCACAUUCAUGCCCAUGUGUGCGUGUGCACACGCAUGUGGGGCCUGUGUGUCUCUUUCUCUGAGACCCACUCAAGAUCUGCAUGCACCUCGGGCCCCCUCCCAGAGUGCUGCAGCCAGAUGCACCUGGAGCCCCACCCGUCAGCCCAGGGAGACAUGCCCCUGCUGAAUUCAGAGAAUGAUCCAGAAGGAUUCAGGAAAUGAGGACCAUUCAUGAACCCAGCGACUGAUGAAGAGCACCUUCCUCACAUCCGCUGCCAAACUCACCCGAAAAGAAGAGACAGAGGAAGACCCCAGAGGAUUGCAAUUUGAGGACACCUCCAACUCAUGCUCACUGCACUUGGUCCAAAAUGAUCAGAGGGGAGAUUUGGCUCAUGCUCUGGCCUCACUGGCUCCCAUCACCAUUGCCUCUGCCCCUCCAGCCUCUGCCAGGCGCCUGGCUCUGACCCUUGCUGACACUUCAGGCCCCUCACCCUUAGAACUGACUGCCAAAGGGCUAGUUGCUUAGUCUUCAAGUAAAGGGGGUCUGGAGGACUAUGGAGGAGGCAUAGUGCCUAGAGAGCCCCUCGCCUCAAGACACCCCCACUGCACUUGGGAGGAAAGGCAGGGCUGGGGGAUGGAGGCACUGUGGGGGCCUUUCCUAUUUGGCAGCAGCUGCAGCCAUGCGCACCAUAGCCACAGCACGCAGCACACAUCUUCUGUCUCACAGUGAUUGAAGAUUUUGCCAAACCACCGGUCAGACAGAUUUCCCCCCAAGCCCCACAUUAAUUGAUUUUUGGAUUCUGCAACCCAAGCUCAAGCUCAAGCUCCGAGCUCACUGCUGAGCUCAGACUCCUGGGUGUCCCACAACGGCUUCGAUGUGGAGGCCAUGACGCUGAAGCCAAAGUUGUCAGACACCUGGGCUGCACUUGCCUGUGCAACGAGCCUGGGAAAGCAGCUCUGGGGAUUGCACCCACAGUGCCAGGGCUCGGGAGCCUCUGAGCUCAGGGAGGCCUUCAGGGACAGGCGCUCGGCCAGCUGCCUGGGUAGGCUACUAAUGAGCAGAUGUGUUCCAGGCUGUCUGCCCAAGGGGCAGCUGCACCUGGGCUGGAGAGCUGAGACUCUCUGGGGUUCUGCAGCCUCUGUCCUCCUCAGCCUGGCCCGACAGCCCCUCGUUCUGAUACAGGAGGGCACAGCUGCCUGACGCCCCUCCUUCCCCAUCUCUGCCUCUCUAAUCUUCCUUGAGGAAGAUUCCAUCAGAGGUUUUACUUACAUAUUCCUACACCAUGCCUGGAACAUAGUAGGUACUCAAUAAAUCCAACUUUUCCUGAGUUAGUGGUGAGGAAAAGCUGGACUCAGGAUCAGGCUGCCUGUGAAGCCUGGCCUGUAGCCUGCCAGCUCUCCCAGCCUCAGGGUCCUCACACCCACACGUGUGUGCAGUAACAGAGCACUUCUUGCCUGCAACAGUGCCUGGUUCCCAGUGUAUGCCACUGGGAUCCGUAUUAUUAUUAAGUGAUCCGUAUUAUUAUUUUAUCUUAAGAGAGGAAUCCAGCUGUGUCCAAAUGAGGGGUUGGGACAAAAUAAAAGCUAGAAUCCAGUCUUGCAGGUGGGGACAUGGCACCUGGGUCUCCACACUGACCCGUGCUGCCCACCCUCUCACAUGCUAUCUAGAGACGGCACUCCUUGUGGAAUGCUGCAGGAGGUGCUCCACUGGCACGAAGUGGGUGGGCUCUUAGCACAGACCCAAACAGUAAGUGACUUUUCACACUCCCAUCGCAUCUCCAAAGCUACAUGCAAAACACUGAUCUUCACAGGGGUUAGAACACAACUUCCAGAAGGCCUCUUUCUUUUUUUUUUUUUUCUCCCUUUUUUUUUUUUAUUAUUAUACUUUAAGUUCUGAGAUACAUGUGCAGAACAUGCAGGUUUGUUACAUAGGUAUACAAGAGCCAUGGUGGUUUGCUGCACCCAUCAACCCGUCAUCUACAUUACGUAUUUCUCCUAAUGCUAUCCCUCCCCUAACCCCCAACCCCCUGGCAGGCCCCAGUGUGUGAUGUUCCCCUCCCUGUGUUCAUGUGCUCUCACUGUUCAACUCCCACUUAUGAGGGAGAACAAGCAGUGUUUGGUUUUCUGUUCCUGUGUUAGUUUGCUGAGAAUGAUGGUUUCCAGCUUCAUCCAUGUCCCUGCAAAGGACAUGAAGUCAUCCUUUUUGAUGGCUGUAUAGUAUUCCAUGGUGUAUAUGUGCCAUGUUUUCUUUAUCCAGUCUAUCAUUGAUGGGCAUUUGGGUUGGUUCCAAGUCUUUGUUAUUGUGAACAGUGCUGCAAUAAACAUACGUGUGCAUGCGUCUUUAUAGUAGAAUAAUUGAUAAUCCUUUUGUUAUAUACCCAGUAAUGGCAUUGUUGGGUCAAAUGGUAUUUCUUGUUCUAGAUCCUUGAGGAAUCGCCACACUGUCUUUCACAAUGGUUGAACUGGUUUACACUCCCACCAACAGUGUAAAAGCAUGCCUAUUUUUCCACAUCCUCUCCAGCAUCUGUUGUUGCCUGACUUUUUAAUGAUCACCAUUCUAACUAGCAUGAGAUGGUAUCUCAUUAUGGUUUUGAUUUGCAUUUCUCUAAUGACCAUUUCUCUAAUGAUGAGCUUUUUUUCAUAUGUUUGUUGGCUGCAAAAAUGUCUUCUUUUGAGAAGUGUCCAUUCAUAUCUUUUGCCCAUUUUUUGAGUGGGGUUGCUUUUUUCUUAUAAACUUGUUAAAGUUCCUUAUAGAUUCUGGAUAUUAGCCCUUUGUCAGAUGGAUAGAUUGCAAAAAUUUUCUCCCAUUCUGUAGGUUGUCUGUUCACUCUGAUGAUAGUU
rnacentral:lncRNA from 1 species